CGAUCCCUAUUACUACCAUUCCAAUUCGGGGAUGCCUCACGACCCUUCCUCUUCUGGUUUCAUGGCGACACACGGCACACAUCGGUUCAUGUCAAUGCAUGAGCAAACCGCUUUGUUAGUUGGAGACGGAAAGCAUGGGGUCUGGAGAUUCCAGGAAAAUGGUUUUAUCAGAGUUUAUCGUGAGCAAGGAGAGAGGGUGUUCCUGCGGAGAAAAAAGAAAUGGCGUUAGUUGAUCUGAGGGACAAAGAAACCGGCUGAACAGGACGACGACAUUAGAAAAUUACUGGAGAUUCUUGAAGAGCACUACAUGAACAUCGACCCCAAAUAUGAAGCUGAGUUUAACUACACUUUUGGAGAUGUAGAGGUAUCGAAGGAAGGAAUGCUGAAUUGGAUUGAUUUGCCGAUCUAUCACCCUAAGUUUGGGGACAAAUAUGAUGAUCAUGUUCCUAUCGAACUUCCUCUCUAUUACUGCCAGAUGUCUUCACCAGAUUUUCCACACAUGGGAGUCACGUGGCACAUGAUGAAAGUGCAGCCAACAGCGAAUAAAGUCGGCCCUCUCGGUAAAAGAGCUGGUAUAGAUAUCCGAGAAAAUUUCAACGACGUCAUCCGAUUUCAUCUAUUCGACGACGCUGGAGUUUGGGCAAACAUAGGUCAGGGAAACCCAGAAACUGACAUGAUGCCGAAAACUCUUGAAGAGCUGAGACAAAGAGUGCAUACUGUAAACUGGCAGAGAGUUGAUUUAAAUAAAGUAGAUAUAGAAGUUUACGUCAUGGAGAGAUCUUACCAUAAUGCACCUGAACAUACCUCUCAAUGUUAUUUGUUAUGGAGGAUACCAGUGGGGAAACACACCAGACUUACAUUCGACCUGAUGGAAAUAUUACGAGGGUUUGAUGAGAAGAAACCACGCGAUUAAGAACCCAGUGCCGGAUAACUUUCCAAAAAUUCCCCAUGGAGAAAGAAACUGAACCGAAGCAGGUGUACGGUUUGGCAACAUUCGGACAUCAUCACAUGAACAGAGUCAAGUUUGGUUUGACAGGCGGUGGCUGCCCCUAACAAAGGUGGU